UACUGCAACAUAAAAUUUGACAGAAGUGCAACACAAAUUAGUCAGAAGUGUAACAUUAACCAUACCCAACAAGUUUUACAAGAAAGGACCAAAAGUCUUACAACACUAACAACAACAUUACCCAUAAUCACCACUUCUUGACCAAAAUACACAUCAACACUACAACAAUCAAAACAAAAAAUAUUAUGACAAAAACUAGCAUCUUUAGCAUCUUUAACAUGUUCUUCAUCAUCUCCUUAGUGUAGUUGUCAUCUCCAUGGAUCUUUUCAAUGUCCAUUCUAAGUAUGUUGAUUUCUACAUAUUUUUUCUCACAUUUAGAACAUUUAGAAAUUAUUGACUAUUGUAUUUCUGGUUUUACUUCAUCAAUGUAUUCUUUUUCAUACCACUCAAAAUAAUUGCAUCCACAAUUAUCACAUUCACUCUGUUAACAAUAACACUCACAAAGCACCAAUUAAUCUCUGCAAAACCAUAACAGACAGAGAAAAAUAAAGCAAUAAAUGUACCACAAAGUAUCUGCAGCCCCAAAAGAGCUUCCCAAAGUUUCUUCCUUUCUUCUUAACUGUUCUUAUCACUGCUUUGGCUCCACACAUACAUGUUGGUUCAUUUUCAGGUUGGGAUGCGCUCGAAAUGAAGGGUUGAGAGUUCUAACUUCGUCGAUUUGCUCAUUUGCUAAGGUAUGAAGCCAUUAAUGGAGAAGGGAUAAUUAGGGUUUGUUGCUUUAUGUAUUUCAAC
rnacentral:lncRNA from 1 species